UAAAACGUAGGAGGCAAGCGUUAUCCGGAUUUACUGGGCGUAAAGCGCGUGCAGGCGGUUCGGCAAGUUGGAUGUGAAAGCUCCUGGCUUAACUAGGAGAGGUCGUUCAAUACUACCGGACUAGAGGGCAUCAGAGGAAGGUGGAAUUCCCGGUGUAGUGGUGAAAUGCGUAGAUAUCGGGAGGAACACCAGAGGCGAAGGCGGCUCUCUGGGCUGCAACUGACGCUCAGACGCGAAAGCUAGGGGAGCGAACGGGAUUAGAGACCCCGGUAGUCCUAGCCGUAAACGAUGUGGACUUGGCGUAGGGAGGGUAAAGCCUGCCUGUGCCGAAGCAAACGCGAUAAGUCCACCGCCUGGGGACUACGGCCGCAAGGUUA
rnacentral:rRNA from 1 species